rnacentral:rRNA from 1 species
GACGAACGCUGGCGGCGUGCUUAACACAUGCAAGUCGAACGUGAUUUUUGUGGAAAUUCUUUCGGGAAUGGAAAUGAAAUGAAAGUGGCGAACGGGUGAGUAACACGUGAGCAACCUACCUUACACAGGGGGAUAGCCGUUGGAAACGACGAUUAAUACCGCAUGAGACCACAGAAUCGCAUGAUAUAGGGGUCAAAGAUUUAUCGGUGUAAGAAGGGCUCGCGUCUGAUUAGCUAGUUGGAAGGGUAAAGGCCUACCAAGGCGACGAUCAGUAGCCGGUCUGAGAGGAUGAACGGCCACAUUGGAACUGAGACACGGUCCAAACUCCUACGGGAGGCAGCAGUGGGGAAUAUUGCACAAUGGGGGGAACCCUGAUGCAGCGACGCCGCGUGAGCGAAGAAGGUUUUCGAAUCGUAAAGCUCCGUCCUAUGAGAAGAUAAUGACGGUAUCAUAGGAGGAGGCCCCGGCUAAAUACGUG